UAGGGAAUCUUCCGCAAUGGGCGAAAGCCUGACGGAGCAACGCCGCGUGAGUGAUGAAGGUCUUCGGAUCGUAAAACUCUGUUAUUAGGGAAGAACAAAUGUGUAAGUAACUAUGCACGUCUUGACGGUACCUAAUCAGAAAGCCACGGCUAACUACGUGCCAGCAGCCGCGGUAAUACGUAGGUGGCAAGCGUUAUCCGGAAUUAUUGGGCGUAAAGCGCGCGUAGGCGGUUUUUUAAGUCUGAUGUGAAAGCCCACGGCUCAACCGUGGAGGGUCAUUGGAAACUGGAAAACUAGAGUGCAGAAGAGGAAAGUGGAAUUCCAUGUGUAGCGGUGAAAUGCGCAGGGAUAUGGAGGAACACCAGUGGCGAAGGCGACUUUCUGGUCUGUAACUGACGCUGAUGUGCGAAAGCGUGGGGAUCAAACAGG
rnacentral:rRNA from 1 species